UACGGGGGGGGCAAGCGUUGUUCGGAAUUACUGGGCGUAAAGGGCUCGUAGGUGGCCAACUAAGUCAGACGUGAAAUCCCCAGGCUCAACUUGGGAACUGCGUCUGAUACUGGAUGGCUUGAAUUCGGGAGAGGGAUGCAGAAUUCCAGGUGUAGCGGUGAAAUGAGUAGAUAUCUGGAGGAAUACCGGUGGCGAAGGCGGCAUCCUGGACCGAGAUUGACACUGAUGAGCGAAAGCUAGGGGAGCAAACGGG
rnacentral:rRNA from 1 species